rnacentral:rRNA from 1 species
UACGGGGGGGGCAAGCGUUGUUCGGAAUUACUGGGCGUAAAGGGCUCGUAGGCGGCCAACUAAGUCGGAUGUGAAAUCCCCAGGCUCAACCUGGGAACUGCAUCCGAUACUGGAUGGCUUGAAUUCGGGAGAGGGAUGCAGAAUUCCAGGUGUAGCGGUGAAAUGCGUAGAUAUCUGGAGGAAUACCGGUGGCGAAGGCGGCAUCCUGGACCGACAUUGACGCUGAGGAGCGAAAGCCAGGGGGAGCAAACGGG